UACGAAGGGGGCGAGCGUUGUUCGGAUUUACUGGGCGUAAAGGGCGCGUAGGCGGCCCUCCUUGUCGCGUGUGAAAGCCCCGGGCUCAACCUGGGAAUUGCGCGCGAAACGGGGGGGCUUGAGUUCGGGAGAGGAGCGUGGAAUUCCCAGUGUAGAGGUGAAAUUCGUAGAUAUUGGGAAGAACACCGGUGGCGAAGGCGGCGCUCUGGACCGAGACUGACGCUGAUGCGCGAAAGCCAGGGGAGCGAACGGG
rnacentral:rRNA from 1 species